rnacentral:misc_RNA from 1 species
GUGAAUCAUCGAAUUUUUGAACGCAAAUUGCACUCUCUGCUAUUCCGGUGCGUAUGCCUGUUUGAGCGUCAGUUUAAAUCAAAAUCGGUGUGGUUGCUGCCUUUCGUGGUGACGCACCGGAUUUGUGUCGUCUUGCCUUCGUUUAAGUGACCUAAAAUUUUGCUUGAUUUUUUUCGAACGUAUUUAAAUGUUUUUACGUACGUUUGUGAUAUAGAAUACUAGGUUUGGUCAUCGUCAUGAUUCGCGCCCAUAAUUUUUCAUCU